ensembl:lncRNA
CUUCGGAUGUUCAGUCCAUCAGGCGUUAUUAGCAGAAAUCAGUCCCAUAGAUAUGGGCCAUCUCCACCUGCUAGACUGUUCAGAAGGUUGUUAUCAUCCAUCCAGAUGGAGGAUCAGUAACAGGAGCGUGGGAAGACUCCAGAAUCCACUCUGGCUGGAAUCCGGUGGAUACAGCAGUGUUUACAGAACAGUUCUCCACAGUCACUGUCCACAUGGGUCAGUGGGACCAAGCAGCACUCUGCUAAUGUGGGACUCUGACCAGCAACAUCCAGCAAGACCCAGGCAGCGUUUUCUAUCUCCCAGCUGGAGUUUUUUUGUUUGUCUGUGACUGGAGAGUCAGAUUUUUGUUGAGGCUGGAGGAACAGCCUCACACUUGCAGAGGUUAAUACACUCUACUGAUCCCUGAUGGGAGAAUCAUCACCUCUGCCAACAAAGAAGCCUGGUGGAUAUUUGUUUGCAGUCUGAUGAUGGGACAUCAUGCUCUGCAUCUUCAAAGUUUGUCUCUUGAUUAUUAUUGAUACACAGUAAUGUGAAGCAUGCUUAUAUCUAGUAUAACUGGACCAACCUGGUGCUCUUCAUUUAUGGAGGCUGUUGAGUCUGAAUGUUGGAUGUUGUGUAUCUCCUGUUCUCUGGGCUUUGUUGUCCUCAGUCUUUUUGCAGGAUCAGAAAACAAAACCAGGAGGCCUGUAAAUGUUUCUUCUCCAAUUGGAUGAUGAUAAGACUGUGACACGGG